ACUGUUAAAAAUUGCUGUUAAUUUACGGCAAAAUUUUAACAGUAUAAUCCUGUUAUUGUCAAAAGCAGUAUGUUGCUGUUUUCUUACAGUUUUUGAAAUGACUUAGACAAAAUUUAACAUUAUUUUACUGUUUUUAUCACACUAAUGUAAAAAAACAGCAAUCAACAGUAUUUUUCUAACAGAAAACAUCAGCCAUCACAUGUGGAUUUUCAUCCUUUUGUUUACUGUGACUUACUCGGUAAGUGCACCUUUAUUUUGCUCAUUUUACACAAAAUACACAUUUGUGAUUCCACAUAGGCUAACUGGAUGCUGAUAUUGUAACUUUUUUACAUCUAUUUUAGUGCUAAAUCUGUCAAUGUGCAAACUGCAUCUGCAUUGAGUGGAACUGGAUUUCUGACACAGAUAUUUCCUGAUUACACGUGCUGAACCUGUGAACAUGCUAACUGCAUCAUAGAGUGGAGCUGGAUUUCUGAUACAGAUAUUGAUUACUGAUUACAAGGCAUCUUCUACUGUACCUGAUGUAGAAAAGACCCUUGAACUACCUGCAAUUCCUUGACUGAUACUUUUUGGAGAAAAACCAGGAAGCUACAUUCAUAAAUGGAUGAUCAUUUUUGAGGGGCAAAUAAUCUGUAAAAGCAUCCAGCCAAUUUUUUUGUCUGGUAUAGCGGCUGUGUUUUCAUCUUACGACAUUUUCAAUGUGGAGAACCAAGCUGAGGCUGCAUGCACAUUGGAAUUAAUUCAGAGAAGCUUCAUGGGUAAACCCUGAAAAAGGCUCCAAGAGUGGACACAUCCUAUCGAAGGGAAUGGGGAAGGUCACCCACAAAAAUAAUUGUCAACACUAAGGUUGCCAGUUUACUUAAAGAAGCUAUUGGACUUUGAGUGGGAUGUCAUAUAAGUGACACCACACACACACACACACACACACACACACACACACACACACACACACACACACACACACACACACACCUUACACAUCCUCUUCACUAAUGGCACUCAUUUUAUUGUGUUAGUCGCGUACUUUUUUUCAGGUGUUUGUUCUUGAAUACCUAAACUGUUCAUUGUAUUCUUUUUUAUUUCUUACUAACUAAUUCUGUAAUUCACUUAGAAGUUUUCAGAGUAGUAAUCGUUGUAGUAAUUCCACUUUAUUUUCCAUUGCCAGUAAUUUUGAAAUAUUUAAAUGUAAUAAGAUGUAAUAAAACUUGAAGUUACACUGCAUUUUUUAGUUUUAGCAUUGUUUCCAA